rnacentral:lncRNA from 1 species
CUUCGGGAUGAUACGAUUCCUGACACGCUUGUUCACAAUUACACCCAAGGCAUGUGGUGUAACAUUAUAUACUCGGCCAGUUCUGCCGUGGUAACUCUUGUGUGGCAUGCCCUUCUGGAAAGCACCAUUACCUUUGAUAUCAACAAUGUCGCCUCUCUUGUAGACCCUUAAGAAGGUGGACAAGGGCUCAACUCCGUGCUUACGGAAUUGCUUGGCGAACAUGUAGCGCGUUCCGCGCCUGUAUCCUUUUGUAUUCGUCAUUCUGGAGGUUUAGUUAGAUCUAAUAUUGGUUUCCUUGAAUAAUAUUAAUCGAGCUUGAGGGUUAAAUGUAAUAAGCAAUCUCUUGUUUUGUUCUCAGAGGGAGACGAAUUUGAGAGAUGUGUUUUCUCAUGUGCAAGC